rnacentral:rRNA from 1 species
CUCCUGUCAUUGGGGAACAAGGCGUGACGGUUAACUGCCGUCGCGUUGAUAGUACCCGAAGAGGAAGAGACGGCUAACUCUGUGCCAGCAGCCGCGGUAAUACAGAGGUCUCAAGCGUUGUUCGGAUUCAUUGGGCGUAAAGGGUGCGUAGGCGGCGCGGUAAGUCGGGUGUGAAAUCUCGGAGCUUAACUCCGAAACUGCAUUCGAUACUGCCGUGCUUGAGGACUGGAGAGGAGACUGGAAUUUACGGUGUAGCGGUGAAAUGCGUAGAUAUCGUAAGGAAGACCAGUGGCGAAGGCGGGUCUCUGGACAGUUCCUGACGCUGAGGCACGAAGGCCAGGGGAGCAAACGGGAUUAGAUACCCCGGUAGUCCUGGCAGUAAACGGUGCACGUUUGGUGUGGGAGGAUUCGACCCCUUCUGCGCCGGAGCUAACGCGUUAAACGUGCCGCCUGGGGUGUACGGUCGCAAGAUUAAAACUCAAAGAAAUUGACGGGGGCCCGCACAAGCGGUGGAGUAUGUGGCUCAAUUCGAUGCAACGCGAAGAACCUUACCAGGCCUUGACAUGCAUCUCUAAGUUGGUGAAAGCCAGCGAGUCCCGAAAGGGACAAUUUGCACAGGUGCUGCAUGGCUCGUCG